rnacentral:rRNA from 1 species
AUUGAACGCUGGCGGCAGGCCUAACACAUGCAAGUCGAACGGUAACAGGAAGAAGCUUGCUUCUUUGCUGACGAGUGGCGGACGGGUGAGUAAUGUCUGGGAAACUGCCUGAUGGAGGGGGAUAACUACUGGAAACGGUAGCUAAUACCGCAUAACGUCGCAAGACCAAAGAGGGGGACCUUCGGGCCUCUUGCCAUCGGAUGUGCCCAGAUGGGAUUAGCUAGUAGGUGGGGUAACGGCUCACCUAGGCGACGAUCCCUAGCUGGUCUGAGGGGAUGACCAGCCACCCUGGAACUGAGACACGGUCCAGACUCCUACGGGAGGCAGCAGUGGGGAAUAUUGCACAAUGGGCGCAAGCCUGAUGCAGCCAUGCCGCGUGUAUGAAGAAGGCCUUCGGGUUGUAAAGUACUUUCAGCGGGGAGGAAGGGAGUAAAGUUAAUACCUUUACUCAUUGACGUUACCCGCAGAAGAAGCACCGGCUAACUCCGUG